rnacentral:lncRNA from 1 species
CAUCCUUGUCUCGCAGCAAGACCAAGAAUCAAUUUAACACUAGCCAACCGUGCAACUGGGGAGAAUGUGUCAAAAUAGUCCACCCCUUCUUGUUGUGUGAAGCCCUUUGCAACAAGGCGAGCCUUGUAGCGUUCAACAGUACCAUCGGCAUGGUACUUAAUCGUGAAGACCCACUUGCAGCCAACCACAUUUUUGCCAGGAGGUAAACUUUCAACAUCCCAAGUUCUAUUAUCCUCCAUAGCAUGAAGUUCCAGGUUACAAGCAUCCGUCCAUUCUUUAGAUGCCAUAGCCUGUUUGAAAUUCUUCGGUUCUUUUUCCAUUGAAAAUGAGAGAACAAUAGACUGAUAUAUGGGAUUUAGCUUUGAGUAAGUCAGAACAGAAGAAAUGGGAUAUGGAGUAGAAAAAACCUGUGUAGAAUGGGGAGGAGUAGAAAUUUGAGUGAGAGAGCAAUGGUAAUUAGACAAGUAACUAGGUACCUUUGUGUUGCGCUUCGGUCUAGCAUUAGGUAGUGAAGUAAUACCGGUUUCUGUAAUAACAGGGGUUAGAAGUAUUUCCUGGACAAAGAGAAGGAGAUUGUGAUGCAGAUGAUGAUGUAUGAGAUGGAGGAAUAUCAGGGGAAGAAGAAUGAUGCAUGUCAGGUAUAUGAGAUGAGCUAGAAUGUGGAAUUGUAACAUGUUCAUCUAAGACAGCAGGAAUUGGUAAAGGAAGUAUAGAGCUUUGGAAAAUAUCCACUGAAUGAUUAUCAGAGAUAGUGGCAAAAGGAAAUGUAGAUUCAUGAAAAACUACAUUCCUAGAGACAGAUAUAAGAUUCGAAUCCAAAUGUAAGACUUUGUAUCCUUUAUAUCCUGUGGAAUAUCCUAAGAAGACACACUGAUCUGCACGAGGACUAAACUUGUUCCUAUCUUUUUGUAAAGUAGAAACAUAGCAUAAGCACCCAAAAGAUCGAAGAAAAGAGUAAUCAGGGGUUUUCUUUAGUAAAAGUUCAUACGGGGUUUUGUUCUUGAGAAGAGCAGAUGGUAAUCUGUUAAUGAGGAAGACAACAGUCAAAAUGCAUGAACUCCAGUAUAUUAAUGGCACUUUCGAUUGAAAUAAAAGAGAUCGUGCAACAUUUAACAAAUGCUGAUGUUUUCUUUCAACAACUGAGUUCUGUUGUGGUGUGUAUGCACAAGAAAAUUGGUGAACAAAACCAUAUCGAACAACUAGAUUAGAAAAAGCGAGUUCAGGAGCGUUGUCAGUUCUAAUAGCCUUAAUAACAGUAUUGUAUUGUGUGUGAAUAUGAGUAAUAAAGGAAGCAAAACGUUGGUAAACUUCACUUUUGUAUUUCAUCAAGAAUAUCCACGUUACACGAGUACAGUCAUCGACAAUGGUUAAAAAGUACCUAUAACCUUCAACAGACUCCGUAUUAAAAGGGCCCCAAAUGUCUAAAUGAAGUAAAUCAAAUGGAAGACUAGACAUGUGAUUAUUAGACUCAAACGGUAAUCGUUUUUGUUUAGCUAAGGGACAUAUUUGACAAUGAGACUCAGAGGACUUACUAGACUUGGACAGAGGUAAAACAUUGGACAAUUGAGCUAAUCUCUCAUAAGAUGGGUGGCCAAGACGUUGGUGCCAAAGCGAAUUAUCAAGCAUCACGGAUCUAGAGAAAAAUGCAGAUGAAGGAGGAUUGUGAAGUUGUAAUAUGUAGAGAUUGUGAAUGAGAUGUCCUCUACCAAUCAUCAAGCCCUGAAUAGACUCCUGGAUGAAACAAGAAUCAAUGUAAAAAUGUGCUGAACAAACGCCAUUGUGAAGUAAACUACUGACAGAUAAGAGGUUGAAUUUGAAUGAAGGGACAUGCAAAACAUUAUGUAAUGACAGGGAUGGUGAUAAAUGUACUGUGCCAGUGUGUGUAAUCUCUUCUCUAUGUCCAUUCGGAAGUGAUACUGUUAUUCCAGAAACCGAUACUAUGUCACUAAACAAAGCCAAAUCAAAACACACAUGACAAGUGGCACCACUGUCAAUUAUCCAAGAACCAGGGGGGAGAUUAUUAUAUAGAGUGGAUAAACAUUUAUGUUGGAAAGUCAGUCUAUCAUUUUCAAAUCUCAAUGAAGAAGAUGGAAAAGGAAUGAUACCAGAUGAGGAUUGAGCAGCCAUAAUUCCAUGCUCUGUAAUGGUAGCAGUCGGUGCACUAGACGAUGGAUUGUCUGUAGGAUCUGAGACUUUAACUUGUGCACUCAGCUGUUGAAUGAGAGUCUGAACCUGCUCCGGGUUCAUGUUACUAAAGUCGAGAUUCAAAGGGGAUUGAGCUGGAGGUGGCAUGUAUGGGUAAGCAUCAGUCAUCAUAUUUGCCACAACUUGUGGUCUUGGACUUUCAAAUCUUCCUCGGGGUUGAAAAGCAGGAAAUUGUCCUCUUGGUUGAGAUUGAGGUUGAGUAGGGGCGAAUGGUCUUUGACCUUGAUUGUAAGCUGAGGAAGCACUCUUGUAGCCAGGAAUAUAUCCAGGGGGAUACCCAUGUAGUUUGAAGCAUCGUUGAAUAACAUGUCCUGUUUGACCACAAUGAGUACAAACUGGUCUCGUUUUGGGUCGAUAGUUGUUCUGUAAGGCAUAUGCUGCAUAAUCCACAUUUUCUGAGGUGUCCUGAGUAGACUGAGUAGGACCAGAACUUUGGAAAACCACAUUUUCAGGUCUCGUUGGCUUCAUUGACUUUUGUCUCUCAUCUUGUGCUACCAUAUUAUAUGCAUCUUCAAUUGACGGUAUUGGCUUGAGAACAAGAAUAUGUCGUCGAAUUGACUCAUAACAUUCAUUUAAUCCCAUCAAAAAUUUGAUGACUCUGCUUCGAAGUUGCAUCGAUUCCCAUUGAGUUGCUGCAUUGCACUCACAUUUUCCACGAGUACAUACUGGUAACUCAACAUAGUUGUUGUAUUCUUCCCACAGUGUGAUGAGUUCCGUAUAGUAAGAGCUAACAUCCAAAGAUCCUUGAUGAAUAUUACUAAGCCUUUGUUCUAUCUCAAAGAUUCUAGGAGCAUCAUCUUGUUUGAAUCGAGCUAAGAGAUUUUUCCAGAUACCUGAAGCCGUGGAGAUGAACAAAAGACUUUGGCCAAUCUUCUUAGAAACCGAAUUCAUGAGCCAUGUGGCCACCAUAUCAUUACACCGGGACCAAGAUCCGGCAUCUCUAUCACCAUCUCUAGGUUUAGGAAUCGUUCCGUCGAUGAACCCUAGCUUAUUGCGGACAUUGAGCGCCAUACGAACCGAACGUCUCCAAGAAUGAAAGUCUGUGCCAGUGGUGAGUCGAUCGGAAACUAAGAUAAGUCCAGCAUGAUCAGAACUAUGAAGAUAGUAAUGAUUUUCGUAUUGGUCCAUCUGUUGUGAGGUACCACCCGAGGAUUGAUGUAAAUCAGGAGCCAUCGCAAUGUGCGAGAAAUCAAGAAUCUGAACAAUUCAAUGUGAAUCGAACGAAAGAAAGAAGAUGUAAGUGCUGAAAAUGAAGAAGAACAGCAAGAACUAGGUCAAACAAGAAGAAGAAGAACAGAGACAACGAUCGAUGCAAUCGCUGAUUGUAGAACCAGACAAACGUUAACGAGAAUCUCAACAAGAAUCAAAUUGAUCAAAUCUCUUCGGGAAGUGCUCAUCGAGAUGAAUCGAAGCUUAAUCGAAGAUGAAAUCAAGCUUGAUUGAAGAAAAAAUCGCGAUGAAGAAGAUGAAGUCGUUACGCGGAAGAGAGAGUGUUAGAGCUCUGAUACCAUAUUAACUAGAGAGAGAAGCGAAAACUAAUUCUCAUUAAUUCUCUGUAAAUGUGUUUGAUACAUAUAUAUAUACAAGAUGGUUAUAUGGUUAAUUAAAAGAAAGCUUAACCAAGAUAAACCAAUAAUACAUAUAUGGUUAAUAUGAUCGGCUCAGAAGUUGGGGAUUGAAUAUCUCUUCGGCUUGUGUUCUUUGUUCUAACAGAAUAUCCCAUGAUCAUCUAUUAUUUGGCUUCGAUUAAUCUCUCCAAAUUUGGCAUGAUCUAACUUCUAGGAUAUGGAAAAAUCUUCCUAUAGAUCUAUUGAGUUCUGCAUCAUGGAUUCUUCAGCCUCGACCACCUCCACAAUCCUCAGCAUCUGUUAUCAUCAAAGUUAUCAAACAUAAUCUAUUUAGUUAACCUUUAAAAUACUUACAUUUAUAAUUAUACAUACAAGCUACUUAUCUAUAUUUCAUGUAAAAAUAUUUAAAGUGGGGGAAAAAUGUGUAAAAAUAUGUAGUCUAGUUAUUAUAUUAAUGUCGUUGCUGAUUGUGCAGUUGUUAAAUAAUGAUAUGAAGAUAUUACUGUAUUCGUUUAAGAUGCUAGAAGAAAACUUAAUCAGGAAAGCCCAGUAAUAACGUCCAAUGUCAGGGCCCAUCAUGUGUUUAGGGUUUCAAAAGGAAUUCGAGCUAUAUGGUCCCUCUCAUUCAAUAGCGAGACAUUCCUUUUAUGUUCACUUCCUUUGAUCGAGUUUUUUGUUUGUUUGUAUAGACUGAUAAUCAGCAUCAAAUACUAGCCGUAAUUGAAAAUUAAUUUUGAUAUUAAAAAGAAAACAAAAAAAAAACAUGUGUUCUAUCUUUAAUGGUGCAAAAUCAAAUAAUAUUUUUUUUUGAUGAGAUAUACGUGUGUAUAUCGUAUGUUUAAGUUGAUUUUUUUUUGCUCAUGAAAAGAAAAUACUGUCGGGAUUUUUGUAAUUAAAUGUGGUUUGUUUCUCAUGUGGAUUUGGAAUUUUCCCAAGGACCUACAAGCAACCAUAUGAUAUUAAAUGCGUGAGGCAAUAAAUUAGAAAAAAGUAGGACUACCUGAAUCUAUCCAACAUUGUUUUAUAUUACUUGUCUUUUCAUUUUUGCAUAUUCAUCAGCUCUGUCGGCAAACUGAGGUCCACUUUGAUAAGUCUUUAACUUUUUUUUUUUGCAUUUCUCCUUUUGUUGAGUGAGCUCCAUUAUAUUACCCCAUAUACAUUAUAGUAUACAUAAAAAGGAGCUCAGCUCGAUCAUAUUACUUGCAACUUUUUUCGAUUUUUUUUUAUAUUUAGGUUAUAUCUAUUUCGAUAAUGUAAGGCGAGUAGAUAUGUGUGUGUUUUAGUGUGCAAGUGUUUCUGUCGGUGAAAUUGAGCGUAAAUCUUGGGCGCUUAUUUAUUAGCCGAGUUUUGCGUUAGACGAAAAGAUUGAAUUAACCAUCAACUACUAUAUGUAAUACUACAGAGCUUUGUUAGUUUAUCUUUUUAUUCUCUAAUCCAGAUCGUAUUUGGGUAAAAUUGUGAUUAAUUAAUUACAAACAUACCUAAACAGUACUGUAAAUUGUAUGAACGUAAGACUAGAGAUGUCAGAUCGUUGAAUAAAUGUCUCAUUUGACUUUUUACUUAUUUAGACUAAUGAUUUUCAUUAAAAUAUGAUGCAUUUCCCUAUUCAGAAUCAGAACUAACAUUUUUUUUUUUAAUAUGGUUUCUCAGUUCAUAGUUUAGACGUUUGUUUUUCAUUACUUUACGAUUUAUAUGGAUAAACAGUAUUGAUCGUAGAACAUCAAAAUCAAGAAAAAAAAAUAAUAAUAUAUAUAUUCAUAAGUUGAAUAAUCUUAAAAACAUAAUUCUUUUUAACAGAAUCAUAAUUUAAAUAGUUAAAAACACCAAAAGCUACUAUUUAAUACACUAGUGACUACACUAGACAAUUGUAAUUUACUCGUAACUGAUAACUUGUUUUUACAAGUUUUUAAACAAAUUAACCCAUCCAAUAGAAAGGGAGAUAUGAUCUAAUCGCUGUUCUCAAAAUAAAAUGAGAAGACAGGACCGAGGCAGUGGGACACACGGAGUAAAAGUUAAUUUUUCAAACUCAGUGUGGCCCCAGAUCAUCUAUCUUAUUCUUUCCUAUUAUAGUAUUUAAUGCUUCAAUCCAUUUUCCCCUUCUUUAUUUGUUUUUCUCCUUUUUCUUUUUUAAUUUUACUUUAUUUCAAUGUUCCUCACAACUGCCAUUUGAAAAUUAGAAGUACAUUUCUUUCUUACUAUAUACACUAUCAUUUAAUUGGUUGUUUUAUUAUAGCAACUGCAAAAUAAACAAUAAAACAUAUUACAUAUUAAUAGUUGUUGUUACUGAUUGUUGUCACCAACAACUGUGAAACAAAAGAAAGCCAUAAUAUUUUGCGUAUUAAUUAACAUCUACUAUGUGAAUAGCCUAGAUACCCGUUCAACAGUAUAAAACAUCCUACCCACUCCCACCUCUAGACAACACAAUCUUUCAUGCCUUUAAUCAAGCAUCCUCAUUCUAAAGUACACCAAUCUUUAUUAGAUUUUAUUCAAUUCAAUAGUAAUAAAUUAUACUCCUAGAAAACAUUAAAGUCGCCAUGUGGAUGCUUAUAAAGCACAAGAAGAAUCCUAAUAAGUCUCAAUUCAUACAACUAUUUGAAAAGCUAAAGUUAAUGGGUCUUCUUGUUUUGCUCUCCUACGGUAAAUAGGAAAACUUGUUAGCAGGAGAGUAGUUAAUUAUGAUAAAUGGUGCAGUAGAAACCCAAACUUUUAUAGUUUUCAAAUUCAAUAAAUAACAAAAUGAAAAGUAGACUCGAAAACCAAAUAUUCCUUAUCCAAUUAUAUUUGUUCUGUUUCGCAAGUGUCAAUUUAAAGUUAAUUGUGUUUCAUAAAUUAAGAUUUAUCCAAAGAUAGUAAAAUUGAGUCAAAUAAUGAGGCAUAUCAGCAUACGUGAAUAAUUUUUAAUAUUUGUAAAAAAUGUCAUAAUCAAAUCCCCUCUAUACCAACUUUAUAUUUUAGUGUUAUAUAACUGAUCGAUAGUAAAUUUUUUUUUUUAUAUAAUAUAAACCAGUCUCCCUCCCCCUUUAUAUUGGAUACUCACCUUAAAAGACGAAACACUUAGUUUCUGUAUUUCUUCUUCAUCUUCCAUCUCACCUGUUUUCUAAAAGCAAGCCUUUUCAAUAAUGGGCAAUAAACGCAUAGAAGCAAUGAUGAUUUUAGUGGUAGUUAUGAUGAUGUUCUCAUGGAGGAUUUGUGAAGCGGAGAGCUUAAGAAGACACACGUCAUCCUCAAGACGAGGAAGAUUUUUUAAGGUGAGAAGACCAAAUCCACUACAUCAUCAUCAUGGUUUCAUUGACCAUGAUUAUCCUCCAGAAAGUUUCUCAGGAUUUUUGCCCAAGACAAUGCCAAUUCCACGUUCUGCUCCUUCCAAGAAACACAACGUCUAUGGUUUACAGAGUACUAAGUCCCAAACAUAUCCAUGAUCUUUAUCACCAAGAUCACUUACACAUAUUACAUAUAUACAUACAUAGCUAUAUAUGCAUGAUACAUACCUAUAGCAUAGAGAUCUAGUUAUGUCUUUAAUUUCUUCUCUCUCCCCUUUCGUGUUUUCUUUUUUAAUUUUUAAGAAAGUUUUCUGGGAAGGAAUUGUUGUAUUUGCUAAUUCCAUCGAGAAUAACCAAAUUAAGGUCGAGCUAUUUUUGGAUGCACGCCUACUUAUUUUAACCCUACUUAGCUUGGGUAAUUAUGUAUCCUAUAUGCAAUUGUGAACUCAUGAUUGAAUCAUUGUAAUGCAUCAUGCUAAUGUACCUUCUCCGUUCUAUCACUAAACCACCUAUGUUCUACUUGUAUUUUAUUUUUUAAAGUCAAGAAGCAUUUAAUGCUUAGUAAUGAUUUUUCUCAUAGUAUUAAUCACCAACAAAUACUCCAGAAACAAAAGAUUACCAGAAUUGACAAAAAAAAAAAAACUAAAUACUAACAAGUUUUAUAUAGAUCUCGAAGAAAUAAAUAUGUCAUAUUAAUGACCACCUACAAAAUUUCUUCGGACACGUUCAGACAUAUUACAUGGGACCUGCAGACGCUAAAUUUUUCAUAAAUGAAGUCACAAAUUAAAUGAAGUCAUCAUAAAUGAUGCGACGACAUAUAUAUAUAUAUUAUUGGCAUAUACUUUAUGCUAAUGGAAAUUAUUAUUUCUUCAAAAGGAGAAAACAUAGAGUAGUUUGCAUACAAAUGACUGUAUAUGUACCAUCAUAAAUCUUAACGUUGACUUAAGUUUGUCUUGUAGUUUCGAUUUGAUAAUCAAAAAGAACUUUGAAAUGUUGUAGUGAGAGGAUACAACACAUUUAUUAGCAGCACCAACUAACCAACCAUACAUUAGUGAUCUUAUUGCAGCCAAACACUCCAGUUCGACUUUUGCUAUAGCUUAAUUACCAUUGCAAUUUGUAAUUAAUGAAUUGAGGUUUCCAUUAUUUUGUGUCUACUUGACUGCUUCUGCGUUAGCUUUUAGUCUACAUUUUUUAACAGAGACGAACACACAGAGUACUUAAUCAUGUUAAGGAGAAAUUAUGUGUGUUUUAUACGUAAACGCUUAAUGCAAACGCAAAAGUUAAUUAUGAGUUGCGUUUAAAACAAUGGAGACAUGUAAGCCUUACAAAAAUAAAAUCUAAGAGCAUGAAUUUCUUUAUUAGAAAAUCAGAACUAACCGCAUCAUAUGUAUUGUAAAGUUAUACUAGUAUGAGCUAACUAUAUGAGUUACUUGGGCGACAAAAAUAAAAUAAAAUGAGAUUUACCUGAAAAGGCCUUUAGGUUGUUUCCAAAGCAUAGAAAUUUUUAAUAUACAUAUAUAUAUAUAUAUAUUAUGUAGUAUGAAUAAAAAGGUCGAAAGUUGUGAUGGAAUAAUUUUAGGUUUCCUAUAAGUUAUUUUUUUAGUUACUGCUUUAAGACAAUAUGACAAGUUGAUAAAAGCGUCGGUCAACAUAUUAACUAAUCAGAGUUCAAAAAAUACUAACGCAAAAAUGAUGGAUAAAAUUGAAAGAUAAGUAAAUAUAAUGAAUGACCCAAAUUAUUGUAAAGUCUAAAAUGGUAGACAAAAAGAAUAUAUGAAGAAUGAGAAUGAGAAAACUGUAAUAGCAUUGGAAGUUGAUGUAUUUUAGCUGCCAAAAUUCGUUGUGGGUUGACUUAUAUUUUGAUAACACAUUAUCACCUUUAGUCACACAAUUAGGUAAUGACAAACGGUUGUCAUUAGUCUUUUAAUCACAAAAGUCGACAUUUUUUCAAUCUAAAAAGUCUGAAGACCUUGAUUUGGCAAUUCGAAUUCGAUACUUCAACGGUGUUCUCAACAUAUAUAUAUAUAUAUAUUGUUGCUAAAGUGAUCUGAGAACGGGACGAUCAUUUUAUAUAUACAACAUACAUGUAGAGGACAUUACUCUCUCACAAUAUCGAAUCGAGAUAGACAAAGAACAAAAAACAAAAAGGCAGAAGAGUUAGGUUGAACAAUGAAGAGUUUCGGGGCAAAAUGUGGAGAAACUUAAAAUUAUGGGGCAAAAUCAUACAAAUGUUUAUAUGACUACUACUGAGGAAGAACGUCUUCUUCUUCUUCGUCUCUGUCUCUAUGCGUUUGAGAAGCUGUUGAUUUCUCCGACACUCUCACGUUAUAUUUCUCAUACACUUUUUCCCGAUUCUCUGACCACCAUGUCUCUGCUUGAUGUUCUCCGAAUCUUCUUCGGCUGCGAAAAAGAAAAAAAAAGAAAGAAAUUCACAACCUUUAGCAUCAUCAGACUGACUGGUAAAAAGUUGGAAUGUAUAAAUCAAGAAUAUGAGCAGAUGCUAAACCUGAAGCGGACUCUUCUUAGAUCUCUAGUUCCAUCGUGGAGGGCGACAAGGGUUAUAUACACGCCAGGCUCGUACUGUUCGAUCCACUCUGCUUCUACCUGAUUAGUAUUGUUGUUAACAGCUCCUGUUUGGCUCGAACCAUUGUCGCUGCUGUUGUUUUGAAACUGAAAAGGCUCGUGUCUCUCACUGACUACUGACCCGCUGCUGCUAAGCCGUGGAUCUGCUGGAUAAGCGUUGUUGUUGUUUCUUUCGCUGGCUCGAGGCGUGUGCUUUGGUGAUUGGAGAUUGGACCAAGAUGAUGCAUUUGCAAAGGCAAAGUCAAAAGGAGCAACUGAAGAUAUAGAAGAAGUCAUCGACUCCGACCUUGAAGGAUGGAAACCAUUUUCUUCAGGGAAAAAAUGGAAACCGUUGUGGUCAAAUCCGUUGGCGAGUUUUAUACUCUCACCAGGAGGCAACUUCUCAGCUACAUCCUUGAGCUGUUUUUCCAGAAACCAAAAGAUAGCUUAUUAUGAGUCAACGGAGUCUUCCUUUGUGAGAUCUCAAGCUUCGAUGUAGUUGACAACAAAUAUAUAUAUAUUUGAAAACCGAUUACAUUAUACCUGCGCUAUGAGCGACUUUAUUGCCUCUUUUGCGGCUCUUGAUUUGGCAGAUUCCUCCUCUGCCAAUGCUAAAGCUUCCUGAGUCUUCUUAACCGAAUUCUGGAGCUCCACUUCUUGGAGCUCACACUUUUGAAUCAGACUGUCAACCUAAACCACCAAAUCAGAUGAAUGAAUGACAAUAUUACCACAUCCGAUACAGAAAGUGAGUGACUUGAGUGCCCUUCUCUGAGAGAGAUGCAUGUACAGUACCUGUGUUCGUAACUUAUUGAUCUCCUGAUUCAGCAUUUCAUUGGUCUUUUUCAUGUUAUCUGCUAAACCCACCGGAAAAUAGAUUCCGGAAGUUGAAGGCAUAGGAGUGGCAGAGCGUGGAGGACUAGAUCUCCUAGAGAAAGGUGACACCGACCUGGAGCUAAUAAUACCUGACUGAGCCGGAGCUAGCUUUGGAGUAGACCUUCGCAUGUCGCCUAUGUUAGACUGCACAGCAUCUUUCAGCUGCAGCAAGGAAGGCAGCUGAGAGUUACGACCGAGUGAAAAAUUGUCAGUCUUCUUCCCUUGCUUGGCCGCUUUGCUAUCAAGUUGCUUGAUCAAGUCCAUGUUGGAUGUACCAAAUCUUGCUAAUCUUAUUUCAGUUUUGUCCAACCUGUCUUUGUUCUCUCCUGAAAGACGAGGCACAGCGUUGUUUCUCCUGUUAGUAUCGUUUACCUCAGACACUUUGCUGAGCUUAACGUAACAAGAGUCGCACACACGAUACAGUCUUCCCGCGCUUGGAGCCAAUGCAGCGCGGAAUGCCUUUUUGGAACUGCAUGAGUGGCAGUGCACGAGCCCACAGUUGUAGCAGUUAUGCCUUUUCCGUGUAAACCCAAAGGCCAGUCUACAGGUCGAGCACUGAGACUGCUCAGCACCAGAGACCCAUUUGUGGAGACAUAUGGCUGCAGUGUAAUUCGAUCCGCAUGCAAUGUACUUGACGUGUCUGUCCUUCAAAGCUUCCACAAGAGUUGGCACUUUUCGAUCCUCAAGAUCACCAUGGCCUAAUCUCCCGUUGGCUCCUUUACCCCAUGUGUAGACUUCAUUUCGAGAUGUUAAAGCCGCCACGUGAUACGCACCGCAAGAGAUCUCCUCCACAAAUUCACUCGCGAGCUUGUCCUCCACCAAACACGGUAACUUCCCGUCCGUCUGAAAAUUCCCAAGCUGGCCAUAAACUGUACUCCCCAUCGUGAACACUUGUCCAGACGUGGUCAGACCAACUGUCAAACUGUGUCCACAUGCAAUCUUGUGGAAGUUGUAGUCAAUCAGUGCAGGCACACAUGUUGGCUUAAGCCUAGGAUCCUUGUCACCGUGUCCAAGACGGUUUUUGUCUCCAUCACCCCAUGUGAACAGUUUUCCAGACGAUACGGAGCUUGAGUUCGACUGUGUGACAAUGAUCUCCACAACAGCAGCAGUGUGCCAAACCCCGCAUGAAACCGCAAUCGUUCUCAACCCUGAUAAAGAUUCAACUUCCCUUGGAUACUGAACUGUUUCCCUGUCACCGUGCCCUAAGACACCAAACGUUCCAUCUCCAAAUGUAAAAAGCCUCCCAUAUGAUGUUACCAAAGCAGUAUGCCAAGGUCCACAAGUUACCGAAGCCACAUGGAGCCCCUCGAGAGAUCCCGCGAUUCUCUUUGGUAUCCAGUGACUGAUAUCAGAGCCAUGCCCUAAAAGCCCCACAUUAUGUGUACCGUCACCCCAGGUAUAGAGCUCUCCAGCCAGAGUAACAGCACAAGUGUGGAAUUCUCCACAAGCAACGAAGUCAACAGAUGAAGCAGCUGUGAGAGAUUCAACAAGACGGGGAUGAAAAACAUCCUUCCCGAUUCCAUGGCCCAGUCUUCCUCCAGAUUCUUCACCCCAAGUAAAAAUCUCGCCUUGCCUUGUCACAAACGCAGCAUGCCUGACACCACAGGCAAUCUGAUGAACAUCCAAGACAAUGUUAGACUCCAACGGCUUAGGCAGAAGGACAUCCGUUCUUGUGGUCAGAUAACUUGCAUUCUUAUCAAUCCCGACCUUAACGACACUGUCACAUAUAACCUCACCCCAAAUAUAAACGUCACCUAGCGCAUCAGAUUCAUCUGCUGCAGAACCGUGACUAGAACUACUUUGGGCACUCGAGACACUAACCCGAAAACCAUCUGAACCAGCAGAUACCUUUGUUUGCAUGUUUUUGGUUUCCAAUGCCACAUGUGAUUUCUCUGAACCAGUUAAAGGAACUUCAGGCUCAGCACUCUUAGGAGAAGCAACUGGAUCGAAAUUAAAGGGAGUCCCAGGAGAGCUGUGACCAAGUGAAGCGCUCGCAGAACUGCUGCUUGGACUGCUCGAUGUCAAGUCUCUGCUGGCCUGAAAAAAUAAUAUAUUUCAUAUCAACCAAAGAGUUCAACAGACAGAAGUCCUGAGAAAAAGACAUACACAGAGUCCUUGCCUGAAUACUUACAUCAACUGAAAUAUUUCCGCCACUCCAGCCAUCAAUUUUUGAGCGCCCGCCUUGCCCACUCGAUAUUAAUGAUUUAAGGCCUCCAAUCCAAAUUUCAGCCUCAACCUUGUCCUUACAAAUCUAUUAAGAAUUAUGAUGCCUGGAGUUAUUAUCAAGUGUUGCUGAAAUGAUUGUCGAAAUACACCAGUUUCACGAUGACUAACCAAGUCAAGAGACUUCUUUUUUCCGUUGUAUAAGAGAGAAAAGGAUAAGUAAUCUUUCUCUGGGCGAAGGUAACGCUGGAAAACAGCCUAUUGCAAAAGAUUAGAUAGUUUCUUAGAUAUGCUUGAAAGCCAGGAGGAAUUCUUUAUCUUUCCAAAUAGAUAAGAGUUUUCAUAUCAAGAACUGUGCAGAAAAGAAGACGUCUUACAGUUCUUUGCCCAGGGAUAAUUUUAGAUACAGAGGCUAACUUUAGUCGCUUUUCACCGCUACUCGAUAUCCAGAUCAAAGAUUUUUCAUCCUGUACAACCAACACCAACGAGCAUAACUUUUGUUUUUUUCUUUCUCAGAUGAAGCAAUUGUCCGAAAAACAAGUGUAAAAGAGAAGUGGUUGAGCAGACAGCAACUCACACUAGACAGUCUAAAAGGAUAAAAUUUCGGCUUUCCUUUCCGACCAUAUUUCAAAAGUUGUGUUCCCUUCUUCAAUGUAACCAAUGCCUGCCAAAAUGUACAAGAUCCGCGUAAGAAAACGGGGACUAGCUACAGGUAACACCAAGUUUAAGACUGCAUAUGCCCUUGCAUCACCAAGUUUCAAUGGUCAUUUUACACGGAAGUUUCAAAAACAACAAUUGACUAUAAUUCCAUUCUUCGAUUGAUCUAUUUUCCUAUAGCUUACAAUGCCAAGGUCUUGCUUAUUCCAUAAGCCUAAAAGAGUUCACUAGAAAAACAAAUUCAAUACACAUGUUCUAUAAGGACAAAUGACACGGGAAGAAUGAGGAAAACUCACACAAACAAUCCCCCCAAACUACACUGAGAAUUCGGGUUUCAAAUCCGGUGAUAGAUUCUUGGGAAGAAAUCAUUGUUACCAAAGAACAACAAUAAACAGAGACUUGAGAUUUGCUGGAUUUUUCGGAAAAAAAAGUUGAACAAACAAAACAAAACUCCAAACUUCCAACUUUGAACUUCCUCUUAAUCACCCCACUUCAAUCGCUGAAUGCGUAAUAAAUAAUAAUUACUCUGUAGUAACAAGAUUUAAGCUUUCUACUGCUUAGAACAAAGGAUUAUUCCCAAGUGAUCGUAAACUUUGCAAAAUUGAAAGAGAAGAAGAAAGAUGGAGAGAGAGAGAGAGAGAGAGAGAGAGAGAGACGAACCUGUUCAACGUUUUGGUCAGCAUUACUGUAGGUCACAAGAUCUGCCAUUCCAUGUGAAAAAAUCACCAGAGCACCACCACCCUCUUCGAUCCUUACCCGACGGGUCGUUCAUCAUCUAUACGAAAAAGCCCCGGAGGUCCUAGCCGCCGUGGAAACCAUCAAUAAAAGCCGUGACCAGCCAGUGAACCAGUUGCAAGAGAAUUAGAGAGAGAGAGAGGGAAACGUAAACGAAAAGCUUAAAACUUUCAAGCAAGAUGGCACUGUAAUUGACCUCCCAGAUCUACCGAUGCUUCUCCAAGAACGAAACUUUAAUAAUAAAAAUGCUAUACGAUCUUCAGAAUUCCCCUCCAGGAGUUAAAUUUGAUUCGCAAGUGCUGCUUUCGUAUGCUGUGAGAAACAAUUCGCCUCUCCGGCGAAACAAAGGACGACCUACCGGAGAAAAUAGUGGUGGGGAGAGAGAAAAUCCCGGCGGAGAAAAACGACGGAAAAGCAAAAAGGAACAAGGAGGAAGACAAGGAAGUCAGAGACAGCGAUGACAGAAUGAAGAGAGAGAAACAAAAAAAAAGAAGAAAAGAAAGUGACGACGGUGUGAGCGACGCAGUCAGAGACUGUAAAAUACCAAUAUAAAUAAAUAUAUACUCCUUUUUAACAUAAAUUUAUAUACUUCUAUUUAUUACUACUAAUAAAUAAAGAAACUGUCUAAUUAAAAACUCUUCUAUUCAGAAUUAUUUGAUGUUUUAUAAGGUUUUUUUAUUUAGAAUUAUUUGAUGUUCUCACUUUUCAAUGUCAAAUUUAAUGAAUUUUUAUAAUUUUUAACUUUUUAUAUUCUGCAGAUUGUUUUCUUAUUGGCGGAAUGAUAUUUAAAUGGAUUAUAAAUAAUAUCUUUAGUAUAAGAAAAAUAAAAAUUAAAUAAAUUCUUAAACUGUGUGCAAAAACAUUAUACAUCAAAUCAUUCUGAAAAGAGAGUAUUUUAUUCUGUUUUUCUUUUGGUACAAAACUUCUUAAAAUAAUUUAAUAUUUUUUAAAAAAUAUAGAGAGAAGAGGCAUCCCUAUAAGACUCUAUUAAGGCUAGUGAAAAACAAAAAAAAAAAGAGAAAAAGAAAAGUAAAGAGGCGUUCCCCAUGCAGUAGUACAUUCGAGUAAAUCAAACUUUUAUAGAAUCUUUAAAAUAAGCAUGUUUUGAUUACAAAAAGCACAUUUUGGUUUGUAACUUGAAAGAAAUGUGCUUGGGAGGUGAACGAGAAACCUAAAUUUUGGUGUUUGGGUGAAUAAUGGUUAGAGAUGGUCUAAGAUUUCAAAGAAGUAAAAGUAAUGCACACAAACAAAUCACAAAGUCGAUUAUGAUCUAAGUCCGAAUUGAUUCACACAAAUAAUUUUUUUCAGUAUCAACAAUUUUUAUCAUUAGUUGUAAUAAGGGAAUGCGAUACAUCCAUCGUAUACGUAUCUGUUUUAGAGCUAACAAGAAGACCAUUGAACAAGACAAUCCACAAUGUCAACUAAACCAACUUUUAAUCCGUUCUGAGUUUUUUAAAAACACUCUUAAUUAAAUAGCUAUCUGCAGCGUUUGUUUAUGGAAAUUUGUGUUUGUUUAAACAUGAAUAACAUUGUUGACUUUCUUGCUUGAGAAUGGAAUAUUAAUUAAUUUAAUCGUCGUCUAAAAAUGAGUUUUUUCAAAGGAUACUUCCGGUUUAGAUCAUAGCGCGGAUUUAAUUAUGUCGGUUUAGUUAGUCCGAUCUGAAACUCACGCGCUAAAUUGAGGUCUAUAAUGGUCAUUUUUAAAGAGGAAGCAGUUUAUUCUUCGCCGCAGACACGUUGAACGCUAGUUGUCGAUUGUACUGAAAAGACAAAAACACCCCUAAGGGAGGUAAGUGGGCCUGUUUGGUUUGGUCCCUACCUCCACAUUUCGGGGAGUUAGUCGAGGAGAAUGUAUCACUUUUGGAUGAAAACAAUAAUAUGCAUCUCCAAUUUCUCUACUUUUUCAUCUUCUUCAUUAAUCAAUUGAUUAUUGUUAAUACUAUGAUUUAUUAUUUCUUUGUGUAACAUCCUUUAACUUCACCGACGAAUUAUAUAAUUUGUGGAUAUAAACGAAUAUGCAUGUGAUUUGUUUGGCAGCAAUACAUAAUUACAUAGGAUCUAGCUCGUCUCGACAUUGUAAAAGCAAAUCGAAACCUUGGAUUGGAUGAUGCACGCCCAAGAACCAAGACACAAAGUUGUAGUUCAAUUUUCCAUACAUAUGUAUUGAAUACGCUUUAUUAUAUAUUAAUAUAUUAUAAUACAUUAUCAUGGAUGUUCAAUUGUAUAUGUCCUUUAGACUUAAAAUCAACAUCUCAUUAACAAUUUAAAAAAAAAAAAAAAAAAAUCAACAUCUGAACUACAUCUUAGAUUGGGAAAAAAUGCACCUUGAAUGGAACAAUAUACAAAAUUGUCUUCCGGAACUUUGUGACUAAGUAGUAAUUAAAGACACACAUCAUAUACUAAGACGAAGAAUAUUUUUUUUUGGAAAAAUAGCUCAUGUUGAAGUUUAUUGAAGCGUCAAUGCGUCAUGAGAUCUCAUUAUAAUACCACUUGAAACAUAUCAGCCUAGUAAUUAUGUUAUUGGUGUUUUGAGAAAUUGAGGGUUAAAAUGGAUUAGAGGACCCAUGAGAAGCUCAAGAUAGUGUCUCAUGAAAAAUUGAAAAGUCUUUAACAAAAAAGGUCUCAUGAAAAGUCCAUUAACCUAUAAUAUUAGGGUUCUUAGCAAGUAAAGAUUCAUAUAAUUUUGGAUUUAGAACAUCAAUAUAAUGUAAUUCUGGGAGUUGCCAAAAAGCAACUCAUUUCUGUCUGAAUUGUAUGAUAUGUAGCAAUCAACAAUCUUUUAGUUUUUGGUGACACACCUAUAUCUUUUCCUUUUUUAUUUUAUGCAUUUGAAUAAAGCUUAUCAGUGAGCUAUUUCUAUUUCAUUCUCAGAAAAGCUUUUUGAGUAUAAAUCUAUUUUUGUUUUGAAUCCGCUAGCAACAAUUAUUAGUAAAAGUAGGUUCCAUAUCACAAAAGAAAACAACUAAUAAAAUCAUGUCUUUGAUGUAAUAACAAAAGAAAUUUUGAUAAAAUUGAUGUAAGAACAAGGAAUGCGAUGAUAGAUUGUAUGAUUGGACUUUAGAGCAAAUAAAUGAAUAAAUGAUGAUUAAGGCAAAGGCUUGAGAAGACAAGAAAUGAAAGCUUUAACAAAAAAAAGAGAAGAAAUGAAAGUUUGGGUUUAACGAAAAAGAAAGGCUCGAAGGAAACAUGGAAAUCUACUUGCUUUGUUGGUUGUUGUGUAUGGGCCCCUCUCUCUUUACGUAUGACAUCUCCUCAUUUUCUACCUAUAUACACUUGUACAUAAACAAAUAAAAAUCUUAAUAUUUUGUCGUGAUAUUUGUCAGCUAUUAAAUUGCUUAUUCAAAAGUUCAUUCAUUGUGAUUCUGCAUGUCACCAAGUCAUAAAUACUACCAGACAACAUCAAAGUAUAUUUUGUUCUUGAUACUCCUUAAGAAAGCACCUACAACAUAUACACACGCGACAAUCCGUGAUUCACCUUAAUUACACACAAUUCAAUAAUCAGAUUGUAAAUGCUGCAUUAGUAAUGUAUUCGAAAUCCUUAUCGAGGACAAUACAUUGUUGGACACCUUCAAAACAGAAUUUGGAUUGAAACCGGGUCAUAUGGGCCCAAAAAGACAAAUUUUGUUUAAAUGGGUCUACGAUUCGAUGAUAUAGUGGCCCGUUAAACCGGCGCGGUACGGAUCGGGUCGUUGAGAAUCGGAUCUUUAACUGAAGCUGGGGAGCCAUGAAUGUCAAUCACCAAUCUCGAGGUCGAUCAAGGAGCGAUUCGAAAGAGAAGAGCGAGCGAGAUAGAGCUCUGUUGUAUUUGAAACCAGAUAGAAUCGAAGCUAUCCACUGGAAAUAGGGCUUUUGUUCUUCUCAAUCUCCUUCUUGUAGCUUGUGAUUCCUGGAUUACCUGUUUUUGUCAACUUCCAUGGCGGAUGGAUACUGGAAUCAGCAGCGACAGCAUCCUCCUCCUGGUGGUCCUCCGAAACGUCGCCGUUCCGAUUUCGGUAAGCUCAUUUCUCUUAUACUCUCGCUAGUUGGUUUCUCGAUAGCUAGAAGAAGCACAAUACGCAGUUUCAACAACUCUUUGAUUGAGGCCACAAUUGAGCACCUUGAUGAUGAUGAUCAAUAUAGGAUACAGAAACACAUGGGGAAUAGUCUGCUUUAGAUAGAUAAACCCUUCCCGUAAAUAAAUCUCCAGAUUCUGCAUUUUGUCUUCGCAGAGGCUCUACCAUCUGCAAUGCCUUCAGGCCAUGAGAUGCACGGUGGUUAUUUUCCACGGGAUGAGGAUCUUGAUGUUCCCGAUACUAGAACUAUUGGGUCUGCUUAUGAUCGCUACCUACAAAGCGUGGUGGUACCAUUCUUAUUGAUUCAUUUCAGUAUAAUCUUCUGGUCCAUUCUUCUUUCUUUGUUGACCUGGUUCAUUUUUCCUUUGUUCUUGAUGAAGCAAACACCUUCUAUGCAAUCUGGAGAAGCAGGUCAUCGUAAUGGUGUAGCCAUUGGAAGAACAGGAGGUAACGGGCAAUCAAUGGGUGAGUUUAUGAUGAGACGUGGUGGAGUUCUCCCUCCAGACCACGGUCCAGAUGGUCGUGCUUUGGGUUUUGAUCCACAAGAAUCUGUUGAUAGGCGUAACCGUGAACCACUUCCUCUACCUCCAGAUGCAUCCAACACUCUAUAUGUUGAAGGACUUCCUUCUAAUUGCUCAAGGAGGGAAGUAGCUCGUAUCCUAUUUCAUGACAAGUUUUCUUUUUUUCCUUUUCUCGAAACUAACCUUAACGGAAACUAUCUUCUCUCCACUUUCCUUAACCGAGGUCUAGAUAUAUUUCGACCUUUUGUAGGAUAUAGAGAAGUGAGACUUGUGACCAAAGACUCAAAACAUGCAAGUUUCCUUGCUUCACUCACAGUUCGGAUAUUGUUGAAAUCGCUUGUACCAGAAAUUAUAUUACUUUGAUAAACAUACUAAAGGGUUUGUAUUUAUGGUUAAUGCAGCGGAACGGAGAUCCUAUUGUUCUUUGCUUUGUUGAUUUUACAAACCCUGCCUGUGCAGCGACUGCUCUGAGCACCUUACAAGGUAAGUAAUAAUCUUACGAAAUCUCUUUCCACUUGAUUUCUCGUUCUCCUGGCUUCUUAUUCACAUUUAUCUUUAGGUCUGUUUUCAUUGUGUAACCUUUUUCAGUUGGAUUGUCUUGCUAUUUGCUAUAGCCUGAGCCUUAAGUGGCAAAUGCCCUCUCGUCCCUUAAACCAUAGACUUUAUCCCCUGUGCAGCUAUGCUCUAUAUCUCAUUUUCUUUUAAAAACCAACACAUUUCGCAGGCUAUCGAAUGGAUGAGAGUGAGCCUGAUUCGAAGUUCUUACGGCUCCAAUUUUCAAGAAAACCAGGUUCAAGACCAGGACAACGAGGAAGAAGGUAAUGACUCAGGGACAUUGAGGUACAUCAACCAAAUGAAUUUAUUGUUUCUCGUCGGCUGGUUUUAACGGAAAGAGCCAUCCUCGUUCAAGUAGAAACUCAAUGAAACCGAACAUUACAUCACUUGUUGUAUCGUUGAAGCUACCUGAAUCCUGAGAAACAAAGAUGCGUGGAGAGUGUAGAAUCUGAGGUGAUAGAACCUUAAAAUGCUAUUUUCACACAUAUAAUAUAUAUAUAUAUAUAUAUAUAUAUGUAUAUUAUUUUUGUUCCCUCCUUCUGUUAUAAAGUUGUGUUGUCGAUAUCAAAAUGUUUAUUACAAAAAGCUUGGUUUAAUAGAAUUUUAUACGAAGAGGAUUUUCUAUGGCUAAUAUCAAUAAAACAUUAUUUGCUCUGCUUUCUUCAUAAGCACUGUUUUUUUUUACCUUCGUUGUCAAUUCAUAUUUUGACUUGUAUUCCUCUCCUUUUUGUUUUCUCCUCCAGUUUAGAAAAUGAUUGAUUUUUUUUUUUUGGUCUUUCAAUAAUUCCUGUCUAUGUAUUAGAUGAAGACGUGUUUCGGGUGUGCUGUAGUCAGGGACGACUUGUGUGAUAUUUGAGAUAAGUUGUAAAAGAUUAUUUAUUUAAAUCAUUUUGUCGUCUAAAUAAUGUAAUGUUAUCUUGUUUCAUUCAUUGUCUGAAUGUGGAAAUUUUCUGUACACUUGGACAAACAAAGAGACGAACAAAAGCCUUAAGAAGACUUCAUGAAACUUCCUUUGCUUCAACAAUUUCUUACCGUCUAAAUUCUACCAUCAUACACAGAGCCAUUUGCUACUCAUAAAAUAGAUGAGGAAAAUUAAUUACACAUUAUCACUAUCAUCAAUUUACGAAAAAUGAUAAUUACUAAUCUCCUUGUCGGAAGAGUCACACCCCAAAAACGUAUAACCAUAACAAUGCUCUACUCCGCGUCUCUUUUUGUAUUACAUAUCAGAUAAUCAGAAAUCUUUCAUGUUUGUUGUCUGUCCCCUUUCACGAUUUUGAACUUCUUCUUUUUUUUUUUUUAAUGUGUACAUGUUGUCGAGUCUUCCCUAUAAAUGUAGGACAUACAUUAUUAAAACUGAAUUUCCCUAAACCAAAAGAAACUACGUUAGGUCUUGGUCUAAUGGUCAGUUAGUCAGUACCUACUAGAUCUGUGCGUGUAGUGCCUUUCACUAUCGUUGAGUCUUUCCUCAAAUUACUUUUAUAUAAGACUUAGAUAAUGAGACAAGACAAAAUUAAUAUAAGGGAUGCAUAACAAAAUUGUUCAGAAAGACGUAUGUAUACUUGUAUAGAAGCCGCCUGGCCCCCACGAAGCAGUGAAGUCUACGAACCCCUUCCAAUGCUUUCACACGGGGAAUUUAUUUGGUAAUAUACUGCAAUGGACAUCUAUAAAAAAAUACUAUAUUGCAAUGAAAAACGAAUAUAUUGUAAACUUCAAUUUUUGAAAAAAAAAAUUGUAAUUGAAGGCAAAUCUUAUAGGUUAUGGGAUCAGGUGAUUCUUGGAAUAAGACUACAUAACAUGUUGAAAUUCUGAACUUAGGAGGAUAUAUUCAUGCUUUGAACCAAAUAUAACUCGCCACAGAUGUAUUUAGAGAAAUACGUACAAUAAUGGUUGCAUUAGGAUUAAACAGAUUAUGGUUCCUUUAGCUUAAACCGAUAACUACCAUCAGCUGUAUGAAUGACAUGAUUCACUACAAAAUAAAUUACUUUUAAACUUUUGGUCAGGUAUAUUUUCUGUAUAAAGAAUAACUUUCUCCACUAGUAUUAGCGAUUCUAUUCCAUUUUUUAUAUGAAAAAUCAAUCAGGGAAAAAUAAAUUUUACUUAGAUUUUUGCAUGAGCUUUUGCUAAAAGUCAUUGAUUUAUUUGGAAUAUCAUUAUGAAAAUCCAAGCACGUCUUUUUUUUUCUCCUUUUAAUAUAAUCAUGAGUGUAAGGGAGAAAGCAAAUAAAGCAACACAAAUUUGAUGUUCUAUUAUUCAAAAAGUAAGUUAGAAAUGCAUGAAAAAAAAAAUUACUGGGAAAAAUACAGAUGAUAAUAGUGAAUCAGUGAUUACAAAUUCCUUUUUUGGUCGACAGUGAUUAAACAUUCAUUUGAAGAAAUAUUUACAUGAAUUAAUCCAAUUUUGGUACACAUUUUUCUUCUUCGUUUAUUGGAACACAUUAAGGUCAGACAAAGUGUGCAUUACGAUAGUAAUAAACUCCAAAGGUUUUUAUUAGGGAGGCAAUAGUAAAAAUUAAUAUGUUUGAAUCGAUGUGUGUUCUUUCUUUUUCAUACAUUCCAAUUUGAAUGUAUAUAUGAUGAAAAUUAUUAUUUAAAGUAUUGAUAUGAAUAUAUUAUCUCCAAAGAGGAGAAAAAGAAAUCAAAUAGCAUAUAUAUAUGCAGCUACGACCCACGUUGGAUAUUACAUAUUACCAAUCAAAUUAAAUACCCUUUUUGGUUACUUUUGUUUUCCGUGGUUGGCUUGGAGCCCUGGACUUUGAAUCACCAAACGAUGUUUGCUUUUACCUAAUUAUCUCACCAAAUUAGAGACUUUUUUGAGUAAAACAGUUUUGAACUUAAAAGAUUCUCACACACUACUAAAAACCGUUUAAAUUUUGUGUGGAAUGCAUACACAUAUAUUGCCGCUAAAGGUAACUUUCUGAUUGUUAAGUAUAUUUUUAUUCUGGAAACAAAUCUAGCAACAAAUAUAUAUAUAUAUAUAUAUAUAUAUAUAUAUAUAUAUAAUAAAAAAUGUUAGUAAUAAUUUAAAAAAAAAAAAAACCCAGCAAGGCAAAAAAAAUUUCCGCAGUUUACGUAUUUUUAUCUUCAUUCCUACUAGUUUUUUUUUUUAGAUCAUUCAUUCCUACUAGUUAUAAACUCAUAAUUAUUACUUGAUUAAUAAAAUUUUAUUAUUAUUAUUGAUAUUGUGUUUCCAUAUGAUUUUCGAACCAUAAAAUAUUUUUUACUCCAUCACUAGUACCAUGUAAAAAUAACAAAGCAUAUUUAAGUUUGUUUAAACCAACUUAUAUAUGACGGUGAUUAUAUAUUUAUAUUAAGUUUGUUUUACGUCAAUUUCUUCAGCCUCAAAAUUGUCAAGAUUAGUUAUUUAACUUUCGACGCCUAACCAAGAUAGUCAACUUUCGAGAAAAAUAAAACUAUAUAGAAUGUUAAGUUGUUGAUUUGUCUAAAUCCUAAUCCAGCUGGUUACUUACCCAUUUGAUAAAAAUUGCUCAAACAUUUAACUUCUAUUAUCUGAGAUGUUUUAUUGUCUAAUGUUUGACCAAGCCUUAACUAAUUUUCAAGAAGACAAUUGGCCUUGAAUUGGAUUAUCCUCCACCUUGUAUAUUUAUUUCUGAAACACCGGUUCGUGAAUCGUGAUAAUGUUAUUAUUUCCCAAUAUGUUAACAUUAUAGUAUAUAAAUUAAGAUACAAUGUAUAUACGUUAUAUCUUUCUCGUUGAGUUGUUUACAUCAUUUCAAAAGUAAGCAUAUUAAAAAGAAACGCGAUAUGCCGAUAUGACUAUUUGAAAAUUUCAAAUGCUAUUAAAAAUUUUGGUCAUAACAUCUAUUUAUCUUGUCUGAAUCUUAAAACGUAAUAUUAGAUUCGAGUUAAUGUUGAUCAAACAAUAAUUAGAAUAAGAGAUUACAAAUGAAUCUGAGUAAUGACAAGAAACGUGUUAUAAAACGAAGAACGUGUGAGGCAAAACCCCAAAAAACAAAGCAGAAAAUAAAUCAAAGAUUGACUGUCACCGGCACGAGAGAGAAUCAUCUGCAUGACGGACCACCUUCUCUUUCUAUGUUCCUUCUACAUUCAACUCGGCCGCCUAUCUUUUAAGAUUUUAACGCGUUCCUUCUUUAUUUGUUCUUGUCAAGAACAAAUUAAAAUAGGAUGUCAAAGAUAAACUCGAAAUUUGAUUUUUCUUUUACUUUUGAACAAUGUAGUUCGUAGUUAAAGAAAGAAAAAAAAAACCUAUUCAAACUCGUAUAUUGUAUUUUGUUGAAAAUAAAAUAAAAAAUAUUUGGAUAUAGAAAAAAUAGUAUUUCAUGUGCUGGUAAUGGACGAAUGCUUGUUUACAGCAUUCAGAAUGUGUAAUUCUCUCGUUUGUUCCCCUCUGUGGGAUCAUCUAUCUUUUUUACGCACCAUUUUCUAGAAUAAUGUCGGUCAUUUUUGAUUUUUAUAGUUCCUCUAAUAUAUUAUGGUAAAAUUCUGUUACCUGUAGAUUCAAUUCAAUGUUCUCUAUAUUUUAUUUGAUAUGAACAUGCAGAACAUAUCGAUCAACGAUGACCAAAAUUAUAGAAGGGGAAAAAGAAAAUCAAUAAUGUAGCCCGAAAGAGACUAACCUCAUUUUCUUUCUUUGUAUUAUAUAUUCAAUCAUUAUUGUUUUUCUUACAUAUGACAUAAAUUGCCAUUUACCAUGAGCGAUCGAAGUUAAAAAAAAAAAAAAAACCGAGAAAGUGAAAUUGAAAAGCUAUAUAAAGGGUGUGAAGGGGAGAGAGUAGAGCAUCAAACACAAAGAGAAACACAUAGAAAAUGGGGUCACCAAUGGCUUCUUUGGCAGCAACUUUGCUUGUCUUAGCAUUCUCUCUUUGUUUUGUAUCGGAAACCACCGCAAAUUACUACUACUCUUCUCCUCCUCCACCGGUCAAACACUACACUCCUCCGGUUUACAAAUCUCCACCACCACCGGUUAAGCAUUACUCUCCUCCUCCGGUUUACAAAUCCCCACCUCCUCCCAAGAAACACUACGAGUACAAAUCACCUCCACCACCGGUUAGGCACUAUUCUCCUCCUCCGGUUUACAAAUCCCCACCCCCACCAAAGAAGGACUACGAGUACAAAUCUCCUCCUCCACCGGUUAAACACUACUCUCCUCCUCCGGUUUACAAGUCUCCACCACCACCAAAGAAGGACUACGAGUACAAAUCACCUCCACCACCGGUUAAGCACUACUCUCCUCCUCCGGUUACAAAUCUCCNNNNNNNNNNNNNNNNNNNNNNNNNNNNNNNNNNNNNNNNNNNNNNNNNNNNNNNNNNNNNNNNNNNNNNNNNNNNNNNNNNNNNNNNNNNNNNNNNNNNUCCACCUCCACCAAAAAAAGGACUACGAGUACAAAUCCCCUCCACCACCGGUUAAGCAUUACUCUCUCCUCCAGUUACAAGUCCCCACCUCCUCACCAAGAACACUACGAAUACAAAUCACCUCCUCCUCCGGUUUACAAGUCCCCUCCUCCUCCGGUUUACCACUCUCCACCACCUAAGAAGCAUUACGAGUACAAAUCUCCUCCUCCACCGGUUUACCAGUCUCCUCCUCCUCCGGUUUACCACGCUCCCCCACCACCAAAGAAACAUUACGAAUACAAAUCUCCUCCACCACCGGUUUACCAGUCUCCCCCUCCUUUGGUUUACCACUCUCCUCCACCACCCAAGAAACAUUACGAGUACAAAUCACCUCCUCCACCGGUUUACCAGUCUCCCCCUCCUCCAGUUUAUCAUUCUCCUCCACCACCGGUUUACCAAUCUCCCCCUCCUCCGGUUUACCACUCUCCUCCACCACCUAAAAAACAUUACGAGUACAAAUCUCCUCCUCCUCCGGUUUACCAGUCUCCUCCUCCUCCGGUUUACCACUCUCCCCCACCACCAAAAGAGCACUACGAAUACAAAUCUCCUCCUCCUCCCGUCCAUUCUCCUCCUCCACCGGUUCACUACUCACCUCCACACCAACCCUACCUUUACAAAUCUCCACCUCCUCCAC